ensembl:lncRNA
AUAUAUAUAUAUUUUUUAAAGCAAUAUGCACAUGUUUAUUGUGUGAUAUUUACAUAUCUACAGUAUGACACAGCACUACGCUGUGAUGAUGCACGCUGACACAGAUUGCACCGCUAUGGGUUAGUUAGGCCACAGUGGCAGGUUACCAUGGUGUUUAGACUCUAGACCAAAGGGGUGGGUAACCCUGCUCUUGGAGGGCUGCAGGCACUUCAUGUUUACGACUUAACCAACCUGGAAGACCAGAUGUGUUGAAUAUAGGCAAUCACUUGAACUGAUCCAUUAACUAAGUGUCACGGUGUGGUGCCGAGUCGGGACAAAAUGCUGCAGCACCUACAACACCCCAGGAAAAUGGUUCCCUACCCUCGACCAUGUCAAGUAUAGCUACAGUAUAAUAUACAUCUUUUGGCUUCAUGAAGGAUGGUAGAACAAUGUGAACAAUGCAACAUUCAGAGUACCAUGACUGAGAGACACGGGAACAGACAGCAGACAGUUCUUUUGUUGAUCGAGGACUCUCUAGUCCCGUUUAUACCUGGCGCUAGCAUACGUCCUUUUUGUCCUGAUCUUGUCCUCAUUCUAAUUGAGCACAGAGAGAUAGAGACAGAGAGAGGGACAGAGAGAGAGAGACAGAAAGAGAGACAGAGAUAGAAAGAGAAAGAGAGAGAGACAGAGAGAGGGACAGAGAGAUAGAGACAGAGAGAGGGACAGAGAGAUAGAGACAGAGACAGAGAUAGAAAGAGAAAGAGAGAGACGGAGAAAUAUGGAUGUAGUGGGUGUUCUUGGUUAGGAGAGAUAGUGUAAAGAUCAGAUCACUGAUAACCUUUUGGCUUUAUUAUGUUCUCUCUGUGUAGAGGAUAUAGGAUACAGAGACACACAGGGGAGGAAGAAGCCCUGCUAGUGUAAACCUCUUACUGUCAACAGGGAGAGUAGAUCCCUAGAUCCCGUGCAUAGAGAGACUAUUCCUAUCUCUCUGAGGGUAAGUAGAUCCCUAGAUCCCAUGCAUAGAAAGACUGUUCUUAUCUCUCUGAGGGACAGUAGAUCCCUAGAUCCCAUGCAUAGAAAUACUGUUCCCAUCUCUCUGAGAGACAGUAGAUCCCUAGAUCCCAUGCAUAGAAAUACUGUUCCUAUCUCUCUGAGGGUAAGUAGAUCCCUAGAUCCCAUGCAUAGAAAUACUGUUCCUAUCUCUCUGAGGGACAGAGGAUCCCUAGAUCCCAUGCAUAGAAAUACUGUUCCUAUCUCUCUGAGGGACAGUAGAUCCCUAGAUCCCAUGCAUAGAAAUACUGUUCCUAUCUCUCUGAGGGACAGUAGAUCCCUAGAUCCCAUGCAUAGAAAGACUGUUCCUAUCUCUCUGAGGGUAAGUAGAUCCCUAGAUCCCAUGCAUAGAAAGACUGUUCCUAUCUCUCUGAGGGUAAGUAGAUCCCUAGAUCCCAUGCAUAGAAAGACUGUUCCUAUCUCUCUGAGGGACAGUAGAUCCCUAGAUCCCAUGCAUAGAAAGACUGUUCCUAUCUCUCUGAGGGUAAGUAGAUCCCUAGAUCCCAUGCAUAGAAAUACUGUUCCUAUCUCUCUGAGGGACAGUAGAUCCCUAGAUCCCAUGCAUAGAAAGACUGUUCCUAUCUCUCUGAGGGACAGUAGAUCCCUAGAUCCCAUGCAUAGAAAGACUGUUCCUAUCUCUCUGAGGGUAAGUAGAUCCCUAGAUCCCAUGCAUAGAAAGCCUGGUUGCAACCUGAAAGGUUAUCACUGUUGUGUCUAUGGUGCCUAAAGCAUCUCCUGAUGUAUUUGAACAUCCCCAGCCCACACUGUUAUAGGAAGAGACAAUAGAUAGAACAUGAGGAAAGAGGUGGAGGAGAGACAGGCAGAGAAAGAGGUGGAGGAGAGACAGGCAGAGAAAGAGGUGGAGGAGAGACAGGCAGAGAAAGAGGUGGAGGAGAGACAGGCAGAGAACGAGGUGGAGGAGAGACAGGCAGAGAAAGAGGUGGAGGAGAGACAGGCAGAGAAAGAGGUGGAGGAGAGACAGGCAGAGAAAGAGGAGGAGGAGAGACAGGCAGAGAAAGAGGUGGAGGAGAGACAGGCAGAGAACGAGGUGGAGGAGAGACAGGCAGAGAACGAGGUGGAGGAGAGACAGGCAGAGAAAGAGGUGGAGGAGAGACAGGCAGAGAAAGAGGAGGAGGAGAGACAGGCAGAGAAAGAGGUGGAGGAGAGACAGGCAGAGAACGAGGUGGAGGAGAGACAGGCAGAGAAAGAGGUGGAGGAGAGACAGGCAGAGAAAGAGGAGGAGGAGAGACAGGCAGAGAAUGAGGUGGAGGAGAGACAGGCAGAGAAAGAGGAGGAGGAGAGACAGGCAGAGAAAGAGGAGGAGGAGAGACAGGCAGAGAAAGAGGAGGAGGAGAGACAGGCAGAGAAAGAGGAGGAGGAGAGACAGGCAGAGAAAGAGGAGGAGGAGAGACAGGCAGAGAAAGAGGAGGAGGAGAGACAGGCAGAGAACGAGGAGGAGGAGAGACAGGCAGAGAACGAGGUGGGGGAGAGACAGGCAGAGAAAGAGGAGGAGGAGAGACAGGCAGAGAACGAGGUGGGGGAGAGACAGGCAGAGAACGAGGUGGGGAGAGACAGGCAGAGAAAGAGGAGGAGGAGAGACAGGCAGAGAAAGAGGAGGAGGAGAGACAGGCAGAGAAAGAGGUGGGGGAGAGACAGGCAGAGAACGAGGUGGAGGAGAGACAGGCAGAGAAAGAGGUGGAGGAGAGACAGGCAGAGAAAGAGGAGGAGGAGAGACAGGCAGAGAAAGAGGUGGAGGAGAGACAGGCAGAGAAAGAGGUGGAGGAGAGACAGGCAGAGAAAGAGGAGGAGGAGAGACAGACAGAGAAAGAGGUGGAGGAGAGACAGGCAGAGAAAGAGGUGGAGGAGAGAGAUGUGCUAAUGCUGCUGCUAUCUGGUGGUGGCUAACCUGCACUGCAGGUAAAACACAAUAGAGUAGGGGUGGGUGGAUGGAUGGGGACAUUUCACAAUGAAACCCGUACACACACACCAUUAUAUUCUAUGAGUAUAAUUCUAAAAUAAACAUAUAUAAUAGAACACAUAUCUUCUUUUACACAUUUCAUCAUAUCAAGACAUAAUCCAGAUGACUUUACACAUCAACAAAAAAAAAACAUUAGUAAUGCUGGAAUAUGAGCUGCCUAAUAAAAGCCUGAUAAUGCCAUUGGGGUGGGAAACCGUUCAGAUCAGCACAGAGGAUAACGCUUUAAAGUCUCUCACUCCAAUGAUUCCUUGUUACAGUCCAAACCCUACUUUCCCUUGAGACGUACAGUGUAGUAAAAAAACAAACAAAAAAAAGAAGCAUUUCCCAGCAUUCCAAGGACCAGAGUCACAUCAUAAUGGUAAUGCAUUUUGUGUCACAAUGACCAGCAUCAACACACAGAAGAACCACAGGAAGACAGCAGGAGUGCACGCAGGAGUGCACGCAGGAGUGCACGCAGGAGUGCACGCAGGAGUGCACGCAGGAGUGCACGCAGGAGUGCACGCAGGAGUGCACGCAGGAGUGCACGCAGGAGUGCUCACCACAGCAAAACGUUAUGCAGCUGAAGAAAGCGAAAGGUCGUCCCAUCCUGUUUCAGUUCAGAUUGUUUUUCCGUUUAGUGCCUAAUGAAUAUGACCCACGGGACAGGGGAUACCUCUUCAUUAUAGUUAUAUACCCUGAUAAUUUAAUAUGUUUUGUUCCCCAAUAUAAUAUUUAGAAUAAUAUAUACAUCACGUAUGUACUUUGUAAUCAUGUCAUAUUAUAUUAUGGAGCAUCUAUGGAUAUGGCUGUGCCGUGUGUGUGUGUGUGUGUGUGUGUGUGUGUGUGUGUGUGUGUGUGUGUGUGUGUGUGUGUGUGUGUGUGUGUGUGUGUGUGUGUGUGUGUGUGUGUGUGUGUGUGUGUGUGUGUGUGUGUCUUGCCAGCCGCUCUCCUCCCAGUGGUAAACCACCUCCCAGACGUCACCACUUCAACAACCACCGUACAGAACUUUCAUCAACACGUUGAGAAGUUGAUACACCUGUCAGUCAAGGUCUGGGGGAUUCAGACACGGCAAAGCAGGUCCUUGUGACAGUGCAUUCUCCUGACAUUACUCCCAUUCUCCUGACAUUACUCCCAUUCUCCUGACAUUACUCCCAUUCUCCUAACAUUACUCCCAUUCUCCUAACAUUAAUCCCAUUCUCCUAACAUUAAUCCCAUUCUCCUGACAUUACUCCCAUUCUCCUAACAUUACUCCCAUUCUCCUAACAUUAAUCCCAUUCUCCUGACAUUAAUCCCAUUCUCCUAACAUUAAUCCCAUUCUCCUGACAUUAAUCCCAUUCUCCUAACGUUAAUCCCAUUCUCCUGACAUUAAUCCCAUUCUCCUGACAUUACUCCCAUUCUCCUAACAUUAAUCCCAUUCUCCUAACAUUAAUCCCAUUCUCCUGACAUUAAUCCCAUUCUCCUAACAUUAAUCCCAUUCUCCUGACAUUAAUCCC